rnacentral:rRNA from 1 species
UAGAUACCCUGGUAGUCCUAGCUGUAAACGAUGAUCACUGGGUGUGGGCAGGAAGACUGUCUGUGCCGAAGCAAAUGCGAUAAGUGAUCCGCCUGGGGAGUACGACCGCAAGGUUGAAACUCAAAGGAAUUGACGGGGACCCGCACAAGCGGUGGAGCAUGUGGUUUAAUUCGACGCAACGCGAGGAACCUUACCAGAUCUUGACAUCCUACGAACAUGUAUGAGGAUACAUGGUGCCUUCGGGAACGUA